rnacentral:lncRNA from 1 species
UUUAUCACACUUUUAAACAAAAUAACUCAAACCCUAAUUCAUUUUUCACAAAAAUAGCCGCACCCUCAUCUCCUUCUCUUCUUCCUCUUCAUCUCUUUCUCUCUAUCAACGACGACGGAACCCCAGCGCCGCCAACCGUCGAUGGAACCCCAGUGCCGCCAGCCGUCACUGCUCCAGCUUCCUCCGUUAAGACGCCGCCAACCGUCGCUGCUCUAGCCGGCAGCCAUCUUUACUAACGCCGACAACACCACCAGCCGGUGAAACAACCGUCCCCAGCCAGCCGGCAACCUCCGUUUAGAGGUAAACUCCAUUAACUCUGUUAAGAUUAACAUACAAACUAUCGAGAUAUUGAGCUAGUGCUGGUGCGAGGAGGGGGGCAAUGGAGUUGCUCUACUAUGUUGUGUUUGGUGCGAUGGCUGUUAUGGUGGCAGUUCUUGAGCUGGGUGGCAAGACUAACAAAGAUCGGAUAACAACUUCACAGGCUUUUAAUUCCUUUAAGAACAAUUACAUUCUUGUUUACUCUCUUAUGAUGGGUACGUAUGUUUCUCCUAUCAGAUCUGGGUUUUUUUACAUUUUGAAAUUCUGGUGUGUAUGUGCUCAAUCUGAUUAUUUGAGUGUGGGAUUUUAGAUCUGAUUAAUUGGGUAUUACAAGUUUGCUCUAUAUUAGUGGUCAGGUUGUGGUAUAAAUGAAAUCUAGCUUUAGAUCCUAACUCAUUUUAUGUUAUCUGAAUGCUGAAUAAGAUUCCAAGUGUUGAUAUGCAGCUCAAUUUGUUUAAUGGUCUUUAGAUCUAUCUGUGCACCACUAUAUGAGAAUACACUGGGUUUGUUGUUGUUGUUGCUGCUGUUGUAUUUCAUUUAGAGUUCUCCAAUACUAUCUGUAUUCCUUGUGCUGUAUCUUUCUAAAUUGUGGCAUCAAGACCAAAAUUUAGUUUCUUUACUUUACUAAAAGAUAAGGUUGAUCUUGCUUAAGGAUUUUAGAAUAUCUAUACCUUGAGUAUGAAUAAACUUGUACAAUGUGCUCAAAGUUCAGUUAUGUUGUAGACAUGCAGUAACUUGAAAAUGGAAUUGUGUAUCUUUUAAUUUGCUAAGCUCAUUAUUUUUGAAGGUGAUGUUGUUGGUUACUUUUGUUUAGAAGGUGAUGUUGUUGGUUACUUUAUUUGUUGAAAAUGCUUAAGUGCCGGUGACUUUAAUAGUGAAUUAGUGUUUAGAAGGCGAUGAUGUUGGUGACUUUAUUUGUUUAAAAUGCUUAAGUUUUGGUGACGUUAAUAGUGAAUUAGUUUUGUUGGUGCCUUUGUUAGUUGAAAAAGCUUAAGUUUUGAUGACUUUAAUAGUGAACUAGUAUUUAGGAGGUGAUGUUGUUGGUGACUUUAUUUGUUAAAAAUGUUUAAGUGCCGGUGACUUUAAUAAUGAACUUUUGUUUAGAAGGUGAUGUUGUUGGUUACUUUAUUUGUUGAAAAUGCUUAAGUGUCGGUGAAUUUAAUAGUGAACUUUUUUUGUUAGUGCCUUUGUUAGUUGAAAAAGCUUAAGUUUUGGUGACUUUAAUAUUGAACUAGUGUUUAGAAGGUGAUGUUGUUGGUGACUUUAUUUGUUGAAAAUGCUAAGUUUCGGUGACUUUAAUAGUGAAUUAGUGUUUAGGAGGUGAUGUGGUUGGUGACUUUAUUAGUUGAAAAUGCUUAAGUUUUGGUCACUUUAAAAAAUAACUUUUGUUUAGAAGGCGAUGUUGUUGGUUACUUUAUUUGUUAAAAAUGCUUAAGUGCCGGUCACUUUAAAAGUGAACUUUUAUUUAGAAGGGGAUGUUGUUGCUUACUUUAUUUGUUGAAAAUGCUUAAGUGCCGGUGACUUUAAUAGUGAAUUAAUUUCGUUGGUGCCUUUGUUAGUUGAAAAAGCUUAAGUUUUGGUGACUUUAAUAGAGAACUAGUGUUUAGAAGGUGAUGUUGUUGGUGACUUUAUUUGUUGAAAAUGCUUAAGUUUUGGUGACUUUAAUAGUGAAUUAGUUUCGUUGGUGCCUUUGUAAGUUGAAAAAACUUAAGUUUUGGUGACUUUAAUAGUGAACUAGUGUUUAGGAGGUGAUGUUGUUGGUGACUUUAUUUGUUGAAAAUGCUUAAGUGCCAGUGACUUUAAUAGUGAACUUUUUGUUUAGAAGGUGAAGCUGUUGGUUACUUUAUUUGUUGAAAAUGCUUAAGUGCCAGUGACUUUAAAAGUGAACUUUUGUUUAGAAGGUGAAGCUGUUGGUUACUUUAUUUGUUGAAAAUGCUUAAGGUUUGGUGACUUUAAAAGUGAACUUUUGUUUAGAAGGUGAAGCUGUUGGUUACUUUAUUUGUUGAAAAUGCUUAAGUUUUGGUGACUUUAAUAGUGAACUAGUGUUUAGAAGGUUAUAUUGUUGGUUACUUUAUUUGUUGAAAAUGCUUAAGUUAUGGUGACUUUAAUAGUGAGUUGGUGUUUAGGAGGUGAUGUGGUUGGUUAUUUUAUUAGUUGAAAAUGCUUAAGUUUUGGUGACUUUAAAAGUGAACUUUUGUUUAGAAGGUGAUAUUCUUGGUUACUUUAUUUGUUGAAAAUGCUUAAGUGCCGGUGACUUUAAUAGUGAAUUAGUGUUUAGGAGGUGAUGUGGUUGGUUAUUUUAUUAGUUGAAAAUGCUUAAGUUUUGGUGACUUUAAUAGUGAACUAGACUUUAGAAGGUGAUGUUGUUGGUGACUUUAUUUGUUGAAAAUGCUUAAGUGCCGGUGACUUUAAUAGUGAAUUAGUGUUUAGGAGGUGAUGUGGUUGGUUAUUUUAUUAGUUGAAAAUGCUUAAGUUUUGGUGACUUUAAUAGUGAACUAGACUUUAGAAGGUGAUGUUGUUGGUGACUUUAUUUGUUGAAAAUGCUUAAGUGCCGGUGACUUUAAUAGUGAAUUAGUGUUUAGGAGGUGAUGUGGUUGGUUAUUUUAUUAGUUGAAAAUGCUUAAGUUUUGGUGACUUUAAUAGUGAACUAGACUUUAGAAGGUGAUGUUGUUGGUGACUUUAUUUGUUGAAAAUGCUUAAGUGCCGGUGACUUUAAUAGUGAAUUAGUGUUUAGGAGGUGAUGUGGUUGGUUAUUUUAUUAGUUGAAAAUGCUUAAGUUUUGGUGACUUUAAUAGUGAACUAGACUUUAGAAGGUGAUGUUGUUGGUGACUUUAUUUGUUGAAAAUGCUUAAGUGCCGGUGACUUUAAUAGUGAAUUAGUGUUUAGGAGGUGAUGUGGUUGGUUAUUUUAUUAGUUGAAAAUGCUUAAGUUUUGGUGACUUUAAUAGUGAACUAGACUUUAGAAGGUGAUGUUGUUGGUGACUUUAUUUGUUGAAAAUGCUUAAGUGCCAGUGACUUUAAUAGUAAAUUAGUGUUUAGAAGGUGAUGUUGUAGGUGAUUUUAUUUGUUGAAAAUGCUUAAGUUUUGGUGACUUUAAUAGUGAAUUAGUUUCGUUGGUGCCUUUGUUUGGUGAAAAAGCUUAAGUUUUGGUGACUUUAUUAGUGAACUAGUGUUUAGGAAGUGAUGUUGUUGGUGACUUUUUUAGUUGAAAAUGUUUAAGUGCCGAUGACUUUAAUAGUGAACUUUGCUUUAGAAGGUGAUGUUGUUGGUUACUUUAUUUGUUGAAAAUGCUUAAGUGCAAGUGACUUUAAUAGUGAAUUAGUUUCGUUGGUGCCUUUGUAAGUUGAAAAAGUUUUAGUUUUGGUGACUUUAAUAGUGAACUAGUGUUUAGAAGGUGAUGUUGUUGGUGACUUUAUUUGCUGAAAAUGCUUAUGUGUUGGUGACUUUAAUAGUGAAUUAGUGUUUAGGAGGUGAUGGUGACUUUAAUAGUGAAUUAGUGUUUAGGAGGUGAUGUGGUUAGUGACUUUAUUAGUUGAAAAUGCUUAAGUUUUUGUGACUUUAAAAGUGAACUUUUGCUUAGAAGGUGAUGUUGUUGAUUACUUUAUUUGUUGAAAAUGCUUAAGUGCCGGUUACUUUAAUUGUGAAUUAGUUUCGUUGGUGCCUUUGUUCGUUGAAAAAGCUUAAGUUUUGGUGACUUUAAUAGUGAACUAGUGUUUAGAAGGUGCUAUUGUUGGUGACUUUAUUUGUUGAAAUUGCUUAAGUUUUGUGGACUUUAAAAGUGAACUUUUGUUUAGAAGGUGAUGUGGUUGAUGACUUUAUUAGUUGAAAAUGCUAAAGUUUUGGUGACUUUAAAAGUGAACUUUUGUUUAGAAGGUGAUGUGGUUGAUGACUUUAUUAGUUGAAAAUGCUAAAGUUUUGGUGACUUUAAAAGUGAACUUUUGUUUAGAAGGUGAUGUGGUUGAUGACUUUAUUAGUUGAAAAUGCUAAAGUUUUGGUGACUUUAAAAGUGAACUUUUGUUUAGAAGGUGAUGUGGUUGAUGACUUUAUUAGUUGAAAAUGCUAAAGUUUUGGUGACUUUAAAAGUGAACUUUUGUUUAGAAGGUGAUGUGGUUGAUGACUUUAUUAGUUGAAAAUGCUAAAGUUUUGGUGACUUUAAAAGUGAACUUUUGUUUAGAAGGUGAUGUGGUUGAUGACUUUAUUAGUUGAAAAUGCUAAAGUUUUGGUGACUUUAAAAGUGAACUUUUGUUUAGAAGGUGAUGUGGUUGAUGACUUUAUUAGUUGAAAAUGCUAAAGUUUUGGUGACUUUAAAAGUGAACUUUUGUUUAGAAGGUGAUGUUGUUGGUGACUUUAUUUGUUGAAAAUGCUUAAAUUUUGGUGACUUUAAUAGUGAAUGUUUUUAGGAGGUGAUGUGGUUGAUGACUUUAUUAGUUGAAAAUGCUAAAGUUUUGGUGACUUUAAAAGUGAAUUUUUGUUUAGAAGGUGAUGUUGUUGGUUACUUUGUUUGUUGAAAAUGCUUAAGUGCCGGUGACUUUAAUAGUGAACUUUUGUUUAGAAGGUGAUGUUGUUGGUUACUUAAUUUGUUGAAAAUGCUUAAGUGUUGGUGACUUUAAAAGUGAACUUUUGUUUAGAAGGUGAUGUUUUUGGUUACUUUAUUUGUUGAAAAUGCUUAAGUACCAGUGACUUUAAUAGUAAAUUAGUGUUUAGAAGCUGAUGUUGUAGGUGAUUUUAUUUGUUGAAAAUGCUUAAGUUUUGGUGGCUUUAAUAGUGAAUUAGUUUCGUUGUUGCCUUUGUUUGUUGAAAAAGCUUAAGUUUUGGUGACUUUAAUAGUGAACUAGUGUUUAGGAGGUGAUGUUGUUGGUNNNNNNNNNNNNNNNNNNNNNNNNNNNNNNNNNNNNNNNNNNNNNNNNNNNNNNNNNNNNNNNNNNNNNNNNNNNNNNNNNNNNNNNNNNNNNNNNNNNNNNNNNNNNNNNNNNNNNNNNNNNNNNNNNNNNNNNNNNNNNNNNNNNNNNNNNAAAAUGCUUAAGUGCCGGUGACUUUAAAAGUGAACUUUUGUUUAGAAGGUGAUGUUGUUGGUUACUUUAUUUGUUGAAAAUGCUUAAGUGCCGGUGACUUUAAAAGUGAACUUUUGUUUAGAAGGUGAUGUUGUUGGUUACUUUAUUUGUUGAAAAUGCUUAAGUGCAAGUGACUUUAAUAGGGAAUUAUUUUCGUUGGUGCCUUUGUAAGUUGAAAACGUUUUAGUUUUGGUGACUUUAAUAGUGAACUAGUGUUUAGAAGGUGAUGUUGUUGGUGACUUUAUUUGCUGAAAAUGCUUAUGUGUUGGUGACUUUAAUAGUGAAUUAGUGUUUAAGAGGUGAUGUGGUUAGUGACUUUAUUAGUUGAAAAUGCUUAAGUUUUGGUGACUUUAAAAGUGAACUUUUGUUGAGAAGGUGAUGUUGUUGAUUACUUUAUUUGUUGAAAAUUCUUGAGUGCCGGUUACUUUAAUUGUGAAUUAGUUUCGUUGGUGCCUUUGUUAGUUGAAAAAGCUUAAGUUUUGGUGACUUUAAUAGUGAACUAGUGUUUAGAAGGUGCUGUUGUUGGUGACUUUAUUUGUUCAAAAUGCUUAAGUUUUGGUGACUUUAAUAGUGAAUUAGUGUUUAGGAGGUGAUGUGGUUGGUGACUUUAUUAGUUGAAAAUGCUUAAGUUUUGGUGACUUUAAAAGUAAACUUUUGUUUAGAAGGUGAUGUUGUUGGUUACUUUAUUUGUUGAAAAUGCUUAAGUGCCGGUGACUUUAAAAGUGAACUUUUGUUUAGAAGAUGAUGUUGUUGGUUACUUUAUUUGUUGAAAAUGCUUAAGUGCCGGUGACUUUAAUAGUGAUUUUGUGUUUAGAAGGUGAUGUUGUUGGUUACUUUAUUUGUUGAAAAUGUUUAAGUUUUUGUGACUUUAAUUGCAAAUUAGUUUCGUUGGUGCCUUUGUUAGUUGAAGAAGCUUAAGUUUUGACGACUUUAAUAGUGAACUAGUGUUUAGGAGGUGAUGUUGUUGGUGACUUUAUUUGUUGAAAAUGCUUAAGUGCCGGUGACUUUAAUAGUGAACUUUUGUUAAGAAGGUGAUGUUGUUGAUUACUUUAUUUGUUGAAAAUGCUUUAGUGCCAGUGACUUUAAUAGUGAACUUUUUUCGUUGGUGCCUUUGUUAGUUGAAAAAUCUUAAAUUUUGGUGACUUUGAUAGUGAACUAGUGUUUAGAAGGUGAUGUUGUUGGUAACUUUAUUUGUUGAAAAUGCUUAAGGUUUGGUGACUUUAAUAGUGAAUUCGUGUUUAGGAUGUGAUGUGGUUGGUGACUUUAUUAGUUGAAAAUGCUUAAGUUUUGGUGACUUUAAAAGUGAACUUUUGUUUAGAAGGUGAUGUUGUUGGUUACUUUAUUUGUUGAAAAUGUUUAAGUGCCGGUGACUUUAAUGGUGAAUUAGUUUAGUUGGCGCCUUUAUUAGUUUAAACAGCUUAAGUUUUGGUGACUUUAAUAGUGAACUAGUGUUUAGAAGAUGAUGUUGUUGGUGACUAUAUUUGUUGAAAAGUCUUAAGUUUUGGUGACUUUAAUAGUGAAUUAGUGUUUAGGAGGUGAUGUGGUUGGUAACUUUAUUUGUUGAAAAUGUUUAAGUGUUGGUGACUUUAAAAGUGAACUUUUGUUCAGAAGGUGAUGUUGUUGGUUACUUUAUUUGUUUAAAAUGCUUAAGUGCCGGUGACUUUAAUGGUGAAUUAUUUUCGUUGGUGCCUUUGUUAGUUGAAAAAUCUUAAGUUUUGGUGACUUUAAUAGUGAACUAGUGUUUAGGAGGUGAUGUGGUUGGUGACUUUAUUAGUUGAAAAUGUUUUAAGUUUUGAUGACUUUAAAAGUGAACUUUUGUUUAGAAGGUGAUGUUGUUGGUUACUUUAUUUGUUGAAAAUGUUUAAGUGCCGGUGACUUUAAUAGUGAAUUAGUUUCGUUGGUGUAACGUCCCGAGAAUCUAUCCCGAGACAUCACAUGGUGCCCAAGGCCACACUUGGCCUCAAGCUAACCCUCUAAACCUGUCAUCACCUUCUGAACUCUCUACGACAAUAAUCAUCAUAAAGUAGGGAAGAAUAAUUAUGGCAUGAACAUACUGAGAUACAAAGUAAUACGGUUCUGUACAAAUAAAAUACUGAAAUCUCUCUACAUGCUGGCACACUAGUCUGACAAAGCUUCUACUUCAUAGGACGGAGGAGCCAUUGGAAUAGAUCCUCAACUGACUCGUACUGAACUGAAAGUAAACAACCAUCUAUUAACAAGACAAAAUCGGAGACACAGGUCCUCGAACCAUGAGGACUCACCUACCGCAGAAAUAUAGAUGAAGGUACUCAAAAGAUCACUGUCGCUGCUGAGAUUGAGCACCUGAACCUAUAUCAUGAGGAAAUAUAGAAUACAAAAGAGUAUAAGAGUCGGGGUGUGGAUGCAAUAUUUUAAAUAAUAUCAUAAAUGUAUAAGAAAAUCAUGCAUGCUGACAAUAAUAACUCUUUUCGCUUGAAUUAUCUAAAACAUCAUUUUCGUAAGUCAUCAAUAAUAACAUAUGCUUCAUAAAUCUCAUAAAUCAUUUAACUCAACUCAAACUCUUUGAAUCAUGACUUAGAGUGACUCGAGAACCCCACAUUGGCGGGGGUGGUGUACUCUUUCCAGGGAGUACAACCUCAAUCUCAUUAUCACAAUCCCAUACUCGGCCUCUGGCCCACAAUUAUCAACAUCAAUCCUACGGUGGCACGUAGUUUUGGAGAAAUACCACAUUUUCGCCCGGUGCUAAAUACUCCUCCCAGACUCAGCUCAGAACGCGUUAGAAAAUCCACCUUAAUCAAUAUCAACUCAUGAGUCUAUUUUAAAGACAAAAACAUAAAUAUAUAUUUCAUCUGUAAAUCAUAAACAUCUUGUGGAUUCCUAACCCGACUCAACUCAACACAAUCUUUCUCAACAUCAAGUAAAUAUGCUUUUCGAAUCAUUUUCAAAUAUCAAAAGCCUCAAGGGAACAUCAUACGACUCAUUAUUGACUUUCAAUCUCAAAUAUCGAUAUAUAUUAAAUAGUCAAAUUUCUCAUGGAAAGGCAUAACUCAUGACACUUGUCUUAAAUCACUUAGAAAUCAUCAAUACAUAAUGACAAUAUACAACUCAUGGAAUAAAUUCUCUAUUUAAGAAACAAGAUGGAGAGAUAAUCAUAAAUAUGAAACUUAUUCAACUCAAAUCUCAUAAAUCCUAAAUAAAGAAAUUUGGGUGUAAACCCACUUGCAAAAUCAUGUAAAUCAAUAAUAGAAAGUAAAUCUUUAUGCACAAGAACGAAAGGAGUGUUCUUGUUCAAACCCCACAUACCUUGGAUUAUAAUUUUGGAGAUGUAGAAACUCGUUUGGAACUUUUUUCUCACACUUUUAGACCAAUAUUCUUGAUGCCCUUGAUUUGGGCAAGUUAGUUCUCGAACAACUUGGAGAAAUUUAUGGAAGAUCCUUGAAUUUCUUGGAAGAAGAUUGAAUUUUUGGGUUUUUGAAGAAACCCUAAUUUCUAGAUAUUUCUUGAAAGAGUAAAGGAGGAAAAAUGAAUGGCUAUUCUCUACUAGGAUAUAUAUAUAAGACCAUAUGGGGCAGAAAUGACCAAAAUGACCUUUUAAAAAAGCUGAAAUUCACUGAUCGGGGCCUGUGACGGUCGAUCUAACGGUCCGUCAAGUCUCCUGAUGGUCCACCAGAUCGUCCAUCACUCGAGUGCCAAAACUGAAACGUUCGGCCUCGAUGUGAUGGUCCGUCAGGAAACUGAUGGACCACCAAGUCGUCCGUCACUCGAGAGCCAGAAACGAGACAUUCUGUCUUGACCUGACGGACCCCUUGACGGUCCGUCAACUUUUUGACGGUCCACCAACUUAGACGUCGCACGAUGGCCUGAAAAAAGAGUCACUGCCUUGGCUUGAUGGGGCACUUGGCGGUCCACCAGGGACCUGAUGGUCCGCCAGGUCAACCAUCAAACCUGGGCGAUCCGAUACCUUUUAGUAAAACGGCCAUAACUCUCUCGUCUGAUGUUGGAUUUCAAUGAAAUUAUUAUCGAUGGAAAGCUUAUUCAAUGAUCUACACGACAAAAAGUAGAAAUUAGAGAAAUAAAACAUGGUUUAAACAUAAAUCACUUUGGAAGUUAUACAUAUCCACUCAAAAGACGGAUUUAGGCUUAAGAAAUGAUUGGGGUAUUACAGUUGGUGCCUUUGUUAGUUGAAAAAGCUUAAGUUUUGGUGACUUUAAUAGUGAAUUAGUGUUUAGGAGGUGAUGUGGUUGGUGACUUUAUUAGUUGAAAAUGCUUAAGUUUUGGUGACUUUAAAAGUGAACUUUUGUUUAGAAGGUGAUGUUGNNNNNNNNNNNNNNNNNNNNNNNNNNNNNNNNNNNNNNNNNNNNNNNNNNNNNNNNNNNNNNNNNNNNNNNNNNNNNNNNNNNNNNNNNNNNNNNNNNNNNNNNNNNNNNNNNNNNNNNNNNNNNNNNNNNNNNNNNNNNNNNNNCUUUAAUAGUGAACUUUUGUUUAGAAGGUGAUGUUGUUGGUUACUUUAUUUGUUGAAAAUGCUUAAGUGCCAGUGACUUUAAAAGUGAACUUUUGUUUAGAAGGUGAUGUUGCUGGUUACUUUACUUGUUGAAAAUGCUUAAGUGCCGGUGACUUUAAUAAUGAAUUAGUAUUUAUAAGGUGAUGUUGUUGGUGACUUUAUUUGUUGAAAAUGUUUAAGUUUUGGUGACUUUAAUAGUGAAUUAGUUUCGUUGGUGCCUUUGUUAGUUGAAAAAGCUUAACUUUUGGUGACUUUAAUAGUGAACUAGUGUUUAGGAGGUGAUGUUGUUGGUGACUUUAUUUGUUGAAAAUGCUUAAGUGCCGGUGACUUUAAUAGUGAAAUUUUGUUUAGAAGGUGAUGUUGUUGGUUACUUUAUUUGUUGAAAAUGCUUAAGUGCUGGUGACUUUAAAAGUGAACUUUUGUUUAGAAGGUGAUGUUAUUGGUUACUUUAUUUGUUGAAAAUGCUUAAGUGCCGGUGACUUUAACAGUGAAUUAGUUUCGUUGGUGCCUUUGUUUAGAAGGUGAUGUUGUUGGUGACUUUAUUUGUUGAAAAUGCUCAAGUUUUGGUGACUUUAAUAGUGAAUUAGUGUUUAGGAGGUGAUGUUGUUGGUGUCUUUAUUUGUUGAAAAUAUUGAAGUGCUGGUGACCUUAAUACUGACUUUAUUUGUUGGUGACUGCUGUAUAUUAUUGUUGUGGUUGCAUGUAGUAUUUGGGUUUUCAAUUUUUUUUUUUUAAAUUUCCAGAAAAACCGACCACAAGUGGUCGGUUUUUCUUUGUCUGUCUCUCUCUCUAUAUAUUUUGCAAAAAACCGACCACAAGUGGUCGAUUUNNNNNNNNNNNNNNNNNNNNNNNNNNNNNNNNNNNNNNNNNNNNNNNNNNNNNNNNNNNNNNNNNNNNNNNNNNNNNNNNNNNNNNNNNNNNNNNNNNNNNNNNNNNNNNNNNNNNNNNNNNNNNNNNNNNNNNNNNNNNNNNNNNNNNAUAUUUAAAUAAAAUAAUAAUAAAUUUUAAAAAUGAAUAUAUAUAUUUUUAAAAAAAUCGAUCACUUGUGGUCAGUUUUUAAAAAGCUACCGCUACUUUUCCGACCAAAAAUUUUGGUUGGUUUUGUGGACGAAAAAUGGGAAAAACCCACCACUUGUGGUCGAUUUUCCUUUUUUUUUUUUAGUAGUGUGAGGUGUUGUCAACUUGUGGUUACAUGCAUCCAGGGGAGGGGCCAGACUUUCCUUUAAGGGGGUUCAGAAGUAAAUAUAUGGAUUAGUCGAAGGGAGUUCAACAUCUAUAAUACAUACAUAAAAAUAUUUUUGACCAUAUAAAAAUAGUAUAAUUUUCCGACGAAAGGGGUUCGGAUGAACCCCUGCAUUGCAUGUGGCUCCGCCACUGCAUGCACCCAUCUUUGUGAUGUGUCUUUGUUUAGGAUUUUUUACAUCUGCUGGUGUUGAAGAUGCUUUGUAUGUGUGGCAUGAUGUUAAGAAUUUGUUAGGAUUGUAGGAGUUUUUUCCUAUUGUUCAUGAGUUGGCAACAAGGAUAUCCCUAUUUUUAGAAUUGAGUGAGAUACCGAUUGACUUCAUGGGGUUAUCAGUUGGCGUGCAUGAGUUUUUCAUGUUUAUGCAUCCGCUAAAGUGUGCGAUACAAUACAGAGUAAAAAAGCAUUUGGUAAAGAUAAACUUGCUAAAGUGUGCAAUACAAUACAGAGUCAAAAAACAUUUGGUAGAGAUAAACUUGCUUGUGAUUUGAAGUAAAUUUUCUAUAUUUUAAAUUAAUUUUGAAGCCGUAGAAUAAUAAUUUGAAUAAUUACAUUUCAUUAUGAAAAAUUUGUUAGUUAUUUUCAUAUAAAUUAAGGAUUUGACUAAUUUAGUAUCAUCUUUGUUCAGUUAUAGUGUAAUUAAAAUUGCUAAUUGCUUCUUCUAUUUUUAAAAUUACAACUGCUACUUAUAUUUAGGAAUUUGAGGGUUUUUACAACUUUUAUGGCUGGGCAUUUACAUUCCUGUGUCGGGGGUAUGGAACUUUAUCCUUUCCAAAUUCCAUUUUGUACUUUGUGGGAAUGCAAGUAUAUUGUUGUUGUUGCUAUUGCAUUUACAAUCACAAUAUCCAAAUCAUCCUCUCAAUACGGCAAUUUUAAUAAGGAAAAAAUUAUAUAAAGAAUCCUUCAUUAAAAGUUUUUGCCAUAGACAAAAUAAUCUUUUCACUUAUUUCCUCAAGUUAUGAUAUAAUUAUCUUUGUUAUAUUUAAAAUCAAGUCAUAAAAUAUGUAAGAAGAAGAAUCUAUAUUUUAAAAAUAAAGAGCCCUAAAAUAUAUGUAAGAGAAAAAUAAAUGGUAGACAUUAGUUGAAUUAAUAAGUUUUCCUAAAAUAUAUUGCAAGAGAAAACUAAAUUGUAAAAUAUAUUCCUAAAAUAAGUUUUCCUAAAAGGUUGAAUUAUUUUUUAUUUAUGAAUCAUAUUUUUUGUAAUGUCUUAGCUUUUAUGUGCAAUUUAGUUGUAAUGUUAUUGCAUGCCAAUAGUACUAUUUGCUUUUAGAAAUUUGUGAUUCUUUUUUAUAUAGGUGCAUUAAAUAAAAGGGUAUGAAGGUUGCGGAGUAGGGUAGAAAGUUAACUUCUUUUUCAUUUGUGAAUCAUGAUUUUGUAAUGUAAUAGUUUUUAUGUGCAAUUUAGUUCUAAUAUUGUUGCAUGUUUGUAAUAUAUUUAUUUUUAGAAAUUUGUGAUUCUGCUUUUAUACAAGUGCAUUAGGUAGGAGGGUAUGAACGUCACAUAUUAGGGUAGAAUAUUAAUUUUUUUUUUGAUUUAUGAAUCAUGUUUUUCGUAAUGUCGUAACUUUUACGUGCAGUUUACUUAUAUUAUUAUUGCAUACUUAUCGUAUAUUUAUUUUCAGAAAUAUGUGAUUUUCUCUAUACAAGUGUAUUACAUAGGAGGGUAUAGAGGUCACAUAUUUGGGUAGAAUGUUAAAUUCUUUUUGAUUUAUGUUUUGUGAAAUGUCGUAACUUUUACGUGCAAUUUAGGGUUCAAGAUUAGGUUAGAAGAUUAGUAGGUAGUUAUGACUUGCCUUUCGACAUAUUUAGGUUUGGUGGGAGUCUAGGAUCAUUAUGAUUGUCGUGGUUUGAACCGCAUACAUGUAUUUUCUUGUUUUUAAUGUCUAUUAUCAUCUAUCAUUCAAUUUCAUUCGCCAACUUAAAACGUAUGUAAGUAUCUUUUUACUUCUGAUUCGCUCAAAAAAUGCUAUCAUAUUCUAGAUUAUAAAUAUUUUCUAUGUGUUAGCUUCAAUUUGAUUAGUUAUGAUUUCUAAUAGCCUAAUUCAUUAAUUUAUUUUGCAUUAUAUUAAGAGUAAUGUCUUGGUGAUAACUAUUUAAANNNNNNNNNNNNNNNNNNNNNNNNNNNNNNNNNNNNNNNNNNNNNNNNNNNNNNNNNNNNNNNNNNNNNNNNNNNNNNNNNNNNNNNNNNNNNNNNNNNNNNNNNNNNNNNNNNNNNNNNNNNNNNNNNNNNNNNNNNNNNNNNNNNNNNNNNNNNNNNNNNNNNNNNNNNNNNNNNNNNNNNNNNNNNNNNNNNNNNNNNNNNNNNNNNNNNNNNNNNNNNNNNNNNNNNNNNNNNNNNNNNNNNNNNNNNNNNNNNNNNNNNNNNNNNNNNNAAUAAUAAUAAUAAUAAUAAUAAUAAUAAUAAUAAUUUUUGGGUCUUCUAUUUAUAGUAUAUUUUGUUUGAAUAAUAAUAGGAACCUAAUUUUGAAGACUUCUAAAUGAACUCUUACUAUUAAUAAACUUUUCCCUUUUAAUGUUUUGAAAAUAUAUUUAAAUAUUAAAUAAAUAAUAAUAAUUUUAAUGUAACUAAUAUUAUAAUAGUAAUACAAUCUGUUAACACCCAAUUUUGACUCUCCUUUUCAUAAAAUUAAUUUCUUGAUGCUUAGGAUUCUUAAAUAUUUUUCAAUACAUUUUUCUUAUUUUUUACAUUAAUAGUUUGAAAAAUGAUAUUUUCUUAUCUUUGCAUCUUAUAAAUUCGCUCGAAAAUAAUAAAUAAAUGUAUUUUAAAUUAUCAUUUCACUACUUUCUCUCUCUCUCUCUCUCUCUAUAUAUAUAUAUAUAUAUAUAUAUAUAUAUAUAUAUGGCAUUGUAUUAACAUAAUCCUUGCUAUAGUAUCAUAUUUUUGUACAAAUUUACUUUAUUUUAUUUUAUUUUAUUUAUUUGAUUUCAAAUUAUAGCUAAAAUAUAACAUAUUUACAUAUUUGGGAAAUUUUAUACACACACAUAUAUACACGUUAAAUUAAUCGAACAAAAUAAGCAUCAUUAAAUUAGUUAAAUGAAAUCGAUUAGGGAGAAAUAGAUUAAUUUAUUUAUUCGUUUAGGCCAGUCUCUUUAAUUAAUUCUUAGCUUUGAAAACCCAAUUAAAACAAACCCAAAAUCCCCAAAACUAUCUGUAGAGGGUUAUUCUAAAAAAUAGACCCAAAUUAGAGUGAUUUUCAAAUUUUAGCCCCAAAUAAAAUAGCUUUAUUAAAAUAGCCUUUACUUGUUAAGUCAUAUUUUUUGAACAAAAAUAUCCUACUCCAAAAUAUUCGUUGUUCAAUCUCUUUCUUCGUUUUUUUAUUUCAAAUUCUAGAAUCAACCCAUGCGAUGGCUCUCUAAAGCCUGAGGCUAAGUUGUCCAAACCGUUAAAUCUCUUUCUUCCUCUCUUUCUUCCAAAUUUCAGAAUCGACUUUCAAACAUUCACAGAAUCGACUUUUGCCGUAAGGGUUCUUCAG